AUUGAACGCUGGCGGCAGGCCUAACACAUGCAAGUCGAACGGCAGCACAGAAGAGCUUGCUCUUUGGGUGGCGAGUGGCGGACGGGUGAGUAAUGUCUGGGAAACUGCCCGAUGGAGGGGGAGAACUACUGGAAACGGUAGCUAAUACCGCAUAACGUCGCGAGACCAAAGUGGGGGACCUUCGGGCCGCAAACCAUCGGAUGUGCGCAGAUGGGAUUAGCUAGUAGGUGGGGUAAUGGCUCACCUAGGCGACGAUCCCUAGCUGGUCUGAGAGGAUGACCAGCCACACUGGAACUGAGACACGGUCCAGACUCCUACGGGAGGCAGCAGUGGGGAAUAUUGCACAAUGGGCGCAAGCCUGAUGCAGCCAUGCCGCGUGUAUGAAGAAGGCCUUCGGGUUGUAAAGUACUUUCAGCGGGGAGGAAGGCGGUGGAGUUAAUAACUUCACCGAUUGACGUUACCCGCAGAAGAAGCACCGGCUAACUCCGUGCCAGCCGCCGCCGUAA
rnacentral:rRNA from 1 species